rnacentral:rRNA from 1 species
UACGUAGGGGGCAAGCGUUGUCCGGAUUUAUUGGGCGUAAGGAGCGUGUAGGCGGCCAGAUAGGUCCGUUGUGAAAACUCGAGGCUCAACCUCGAGACGCCGAUGGAAACCAUUUGGCUAGAGUCCGGAAGAGGAGAGUGGAAUUCCUGGUGUAGCGGUGAAAUGCGCAGAUAUCAGGAAGAACACCCGUGGCUAAGGCGGCUCUCUAGUACGGUACUGACGCUGAGACGCGAAAGCGUGGGGAGCGAACAGG